GCUAAACGCUGGCGGCGUGUCUUAGCCAUGCAAGUCGAGCGGACUUAUGGGGUAACUUAUAAGUCAGCGGCGGACGGCGGAGUAACACGUAGCUAACCUACCCUCUGGACGGGGAUAACCUACCGAAAGGUGGGCUAAUACCCGAUGUAGUCAUCCUGUAUAGGGGUGAUGAAAGGUGGGCUUCUGUUUACAAGCUCAUGCUGGAGGAGGGGGCUGCGGCCUAUCAGGUAGUUGGUAGGGUAAUAGCCUACCAAGCCGAUGACGGGUAGCCGGCCUGAGAGGGUGACCGGCCCGAGGGGCACUGAGAUACGGGUCCCACUCCUACGGGAGGCAGCAGGCUAGAAAUUUGGGCAAUGGGGGAAACCCUGACCCAGUGACGCCGCGUGCAGGAAGGAGCCCUUCGGGGUGUAAACUGCUGUCGUGUAGGGAGAAGGGUACUAAGGUGAACAAUCUUAGUACUUGACGGUACUACAGGAGGAAGCCCAGGCUAACCUCGUG
rnacentral:rRNA from 1 species